rnacentral:rRNA from 1 species
UACAGAGGGUGCGAGCGUUAAUCGGAAUUACUGGGCGUAAAGCGCACGUAGGCGGCUUUGUAAGUUAGAGGUGAAAGCCCGGGGCUCAACUCCGGAAUUGCCUUUAAGACUGCAUCGCUAGAAUUGUGGAGAGGUAAGUGGAAUUCCGAGUGUAGAGGUGAAAUUCGUAGAUAUUCGGAAGAACACCAGUGGCGAAGGCGACUUACUGGACACAUAUUGACGCUGAGGUGCGAAAGCGUGGGAGCAACAGG